GACGAACGCUGGCGGCGUGCUUAACACAUGCAAGUCGAACGGAAAGGCCCUGCUUUUGUUGGGUGCUCGAGUGGCGAACGGGUGAGUAACACGUGAGUAACCUGCCCUUUACUUUGGGAUAACUUCAGGAAACUGGGGCUCAUACCGGAUAGGAUCUCCUGCUGCAUGGUGGGGGAUGGAAAGUUUCGGCGGUUGGGGCUGGACUCGCGGCUUAUCAGCUUGUUGGUGGGGUAGUGGCUUACCAAGCCUUUGACGGGUAGCCGGCCUGAGAGGGUUACCGGAGACAUUGGGACUGAGAUACGGCCCAGACUCGUACGGUAGGCAGCAGGGGGGAAUAUGGCACAAUGGGCGGAAGCCUGAGGCAGCAACGCCGCGUGCGGGAUGACGGCCUUCGGGGUGUAAACCGCUUUCGCCUGUGACGAAGCGUGAGUGACGGUAAUGGGUAAAGAAGCACCGGCUAACUACGUG
rnacentral:rRNA from 1 species